GAGUUUGUUGCCAAAUGAAGAAGGCUCACGAGACACGCAUGGGGUCAGCCACAUGCUAUCCUUCCUUAUUCUCUCUCCGGGAGUGACUCGUGUCCUUUGCCGGAGACACUCACUGCCACUUCAACGCCGGCGUCGAACCCUUUGCAAAUCUCAACAAAAUCCUCAACCUUCUAAAGUGAUACCCUUUUGCUUAGAACAAUGAAAGCAGCGAAAGGGAACCAGGAAGAGGAAGAGUACGAGGAGGAAGACUUCGGUUCUUCUAAGAAACAGGGUCCUUCUUCUGCGCCUAAUACCAACAAAGAUGCAAAAGCUAUUGACAAGGCUAGUGCAAUAAGAUCGAAACAUUCUGUGACUGAGCAGCGAAGAAGGAGCAAGAUAAAUGAGAGAUUCCAGAUAUUGAGGGAUCUCAUACCUCAUAGUGAUCAAAAGAGGGACACGGCAUCAUUUUUAUUAGAGGUGAUUGAGUAUGUUCAAUACUUACAGGAGAAGGUGCAAAAAUAUGAAGGCUCAUAUCAAGGUUGGGGUCAAGAGCCCUCGAAGUUGAUGCCAUGGAGAAAUAGUCAUUGGCGUGUCCAAAGCUUUGUUGGUCAACCUCCAGCUAUAAAGAAUGGUUCAGGUCCAGUUUCACCUUUUCCUGGAAAGUUUGAGGAAAGCAAUGUUAGUAUCACUCCAACCAUGCUUGGUGGCACUCAGAAUACAAUAGAUCCUGAUCAGAGCAGGGAUAUUGUCAACAAAACAGCAGAGAGACAACCUGAUUUAGCAAGCAAAGGAAUAUCUCUGCCCUUGGCUAUGCUUUCAAAUAUGUCUGUUCCUGUCAGAAGUGAUGGUGCACUUGCACAUCCUCUUCAAGGAACUGUUUCUGAUGCACAAUCAACUGAAUGCCCAACAACUAGUGAACCACAGAACCCGCAGGACGAACUCACAGUUGAAGGAGGGACAAUUAGCAUCUCAAGUGUUUACUCCCAAGGGUUGCGCAUCACUAAUUCAUGGUAUGCAUCAACAAAAUGUUGAACAGCUAGGGAGCACUUACUUUCUCUCUCUCUCUUUUCCCCUGUUUUUAAAAUGUCAAAUGUGGUUGAUGUGCUGAAACCAUCAGUUAUUUCAGGUUGUUGAAUAAUUUAUCUCAAGCAUUACAAAGUGCUGGUUUAGAUCUGUCACAGGCUAGUAUAUCAGUUCAGAUUAAUCUAGGGAAACGGGCAAACAAAGGACCAAGUUGUGGGACCUCUUCUCCCAAGAAUCAUGAUAACCUUCCUUCAAGCAAUCAAACCAUUGCACAUUUUAGAGAUGCAUGCAGUGAAGACUCAGAUCAAGCACAAAAGCGAAUGAAAACAUACAAGUGACUUAUAUGGCCUUUUUCAUGGACAUUCACUUGGCAUCCAGAUUUCUCAUGACUUGUUCCUGGGGCACCAUAUUCCUUGUGGUUACUGUACAUCCUUUCCCAUUUGUUUGACCUUUGAUUGUCAUUUUAAAACUAUAAGAACUUUGUAACACAUGCAUUAUUCGUGGAGAUGUUGAGGCUUCUGCAGUAGUGGGCAUGUAAUCUAUUUUGCUUGUAUGAUACAUAAUAUAAUUUAGUAUUAUUUAGCUUUUGAUU